rnacentral:lncRNA from 1 species
CCCCAGGUUGGAGCCGAUUAGCGCUACAUGCUCUGCGUUCCCAUCAUUCAAAGGGAUCGGUGCCAGAUCUUCGAUUGGGGCGCCCCUCUCUUCGGUGAGGUCAUCAUGAGCAUCUAGUCCAUCGACGGGACAGGGGUCAGAUUGAUCGCUUCUUUGCAAGGCGAUGUUGUAGCAGUGUCUGGCCAGGGCUUGGUCUCUCCGGACCUCUCCGAUCCCCUGGUUGGUGGGGAACUUCAACUUCAAAUGGUAGGUUGAUACGA